rnacentral:rRNA from 1 species
GACGAACGCUGGCGGCGUGCCUAAUACAUGCAAGUCGAGCGCAGGAAAAUGACGGAACUCUUCGGAGGGAAGGCAGUGGAAUGAGCGGCGGACGGGUGAGUAACACGUAAGGAACCUGCCUCAAGGAUUGGGAUAACUCCGAGAAAUCGGAGCUAAUACCGGAUAGUUCAACGGACCGCAUGGUCCGCUGAUGAAAGGCGCUCCGGCGUCACCUUGAGAUGGCCUUGCGGUGCAUUAGCUAGUUGGUGGGGUAACGGCCCACCAAGGCGACGAUGCAUAGCCGACCUGAGAGGGUGAUCGGCCACACUGGGACUAAGACACGGCCCAGACUCCUACGGGAGGCAGCAGUAGGGAAUCUUCCACAAUGGACGAAAGUCUGAUGGAGCAACGCCGCGUGAGUGAUGAAGGUUUUCGGAUCGUAAAACUCUGUUGUAAGGGAAGAACACGUACGAGAGGAAAUGCUCGUACCUUGACGGUACCUUACGAGAAAGCCACGGCUAACUACGUGCCAGCCGCCGCAGUAA